GAAAACUCACCAGGUCAGGACACGGUAAGGAUUGACGGACUGAAGGCUCUUUCUCGAUUCCGUGGAAAGUGGUGCAUGGCCGUUUUUGGUUGGUGGAUCGAUCCGUCUGGUUAAUUCCGUUAACGAACGAGACCUCGGCACUCCGAAUAGCGCGGCGGACGUCGCGGCCUCCGGGCCGUCUUCCGCACGAGCUUCUUAGAGGGACCGUCCCCCGCCGGGGAAGGAGGUGCGAGGCAACGACAGGUCUGUGAUGCCCUUAGAUGUUCUGGGCCGCACGCGCAUUACACUGACGCGUCCAACGGGUGACUCCCGACCCGAAGGGGCCGGGGAAUCCGCAAGGCGCGUCGUGAUGGGGAUUGAACGUUGCAAUUGUUGUUCACGAACGAGGAAUUCCUAGUAGGCGCGGGUCAUCAACCCGCGCCGAUUACGUCCCUGCCC
rnacentral:rRNA from 1 species